AAGUUUCAUGCUACUCCAACGGUGGACAUCGUGGGCCCCACACGUCGGCGUCACAGAGCAACCCAAUUCUGUGUACAGACGUCCAGUACUCGCCCACUCCCGUGAACCCCAAAACCCUUCCUCCCCAAACAACCGGCGGCGGCGCGACCGCGCGAGGGCUUCGCUUUGCAUCCAUGGCUCUCGUCGCCGGCUCCUACGAGCGCUUCAUCUGGGGCUUCUCUCUCAAAACCCUGACGUCCCCCUCCGCCACCGGCGCCUCGCCCUCCGAGACCCUCACCCUCGCGCCGCUCUUCUCGUACCCGGCCCACACGGGCCCGGUGCGCUGCGUGGCCGCGGCGCCGCGGGCGGGGCUGGUGGCCUCCGGCGGCGCGGACGAUUCCGUCCGCCUCUACGACCUCCCUUCCGCCGCGGACCUCGGCCCGCUCCUGGACCCCUCGGCCGCCGUCUCCGCGCUCGCCUUCUACUCCCGGGGCCCCGUGCCGCGGAACCUCCUGGCCGCCUGCGACGACGGCUCGCUCCACAUCUACGACGCCGACGGCUUCGCGCUGCUCUCCACGCUCCGCGCCUUCCCGCGCCACGAAGCCGCCGAGGCGCUCGCCGUGCACCCGUCGGGCCGGGUCGCGCUCGCCGUCGGCCGCGCGGGGGCGCUUGCCAUGCUCAACCUCGUCCGCGGCCGACGCAGCUUCGCAUGCCGCCUCGAGCACCCUGCGUCCGCGAUCGCCUACGCCGAGGACAGGGACGGCGGGGACCGAUUCGUGAUGGCUGCCGAGAACAAGGUCAGCGUGCACGACUCCGUGGAUGCCAGGGUUAUUCAUGAUAUGGACUGUGGCAAGAAGGUGCUCGCCAUGGCGCCCGCAAAGAGUGGGGUCCUUUACACUGGAGGCGAGGACCGAUGUAUUACUGCUUGGGAUCUGUCCAGCGGCAAGGUCUCCUCACGCAUUGAGGGUGCCCAUGCAACUCGUGUAAAAGGGGUUGUUGUUUUUGGUAAUAGCAAUGAUGGAUCACAGCUCUCCAAUCUAAUUUCUUCUGCUUCGUCCGAUGGUGUCAUAAGGAUAUGGGACAUUCGAACAAUCGGGAACGGAAAGCCUACUCCAUUAGCAGAGGCUAAUACAAAAGCAAGGCUAACUUGUCUUGCUGGAACGUCACUGAAAUGACUCAAGGAACCUACAGUUUGCUAGGCGUCUGAUUCUGCAUUGUUAGCUGAAUUAGAAAACCUGGACAUGAAAGAAGAAAUUGAAGGUGAAAGAUCUGGCACGCGAGCAUUAUCUGUGUGCGUUUGGAACGUAUCCAUCCAUUAUGUACACCGACAUAGUUUUGGCUUAGUGUCUGAGCUGCAUAACUUAUUUAUAUUUGAUUGCGCGACAAGUUUUGCAAUGAGAACCGUUUUCAGUACUAACUGUGCAAUUGCAUCACGUACGGGACUGAGUUCUCUGUCAAGAGAGUCAUUGACGCCACAAGUUAUUGCAGUGGCAAUCAUUUCCAGUUUGCAUCAUUUGGCAUGAGUUCUCAAUCAGAACUCAGAAGGAUGACGAGAGCACAGCGGGAGCGAGGACAAGUUCUCAGUGAUCUUGUCAAGCGACGACAGCGCUGCUGCUGCAGGCUUUGCUGUGGCCUGUGGGCAUUGGCAUCCGCGAGCUUCUCCACGAGCGUCGGCGUCUCCAGAGCAGCUCGCCUCUCGUCCGCGCGGCAUCCAUCACUCACCCUACGGCGGCAAUGUUGAUCGACCCCAGUCAGCUUUGCUUUUCCAGUGGCAGUACGUAUAUGGUCAUUAUGAAGCUAGCUACUGGUCAUCACAGUGUGGUUAGCGGCUGCUAUUACUGCUAUUACUGCUAUUGCUCUGUCUCUGUUCUCUAAUAACGAUGGUCCUUUUUGGU